rnacentral:lncRNA from 1 species
CCAGGCUAGCCAGAUGAGGCAGAAAGAUCUUUCCCAGACCCAUUCUGUUUUUCUCUGAAGGAAUCCUAGGAAAGGCCUCAGGGCCUCCCAUGUACCUACUGGCUCUGGGCCUUCAGACUUGCCCCCUUGAGUGACCAGCCAAAGCUGAGAAAUGUACCGUCAGCCAGAGGUUUCUCUCAGUGCUCAGAUGUGACCUUGGGGUGGAACCCACGUGCAUACCAGAGGGAAAGGAGAGUGGCUUAUUGUGCUGCACUUUGUCCAAGAGAUGGAUCUGCCUCAACCUGAAGCCAACAGAAACCCCGGGGAAACAGUACCCACUUCCAACAGGAAGCCUCGUAAAGUUCUCUGGACCUAGUUCCUGUCUGUGGAAUGAAGGAAUGUAGAUUAUAUGAUCUCCAAGUU